rnacentral:rRNA from 1 species
UGAAUACGAGAUGCUACGGCGUCGAAGCAGUGUAUGUCAGACUUCCAAGAAAAGCUCGCAAUGUCAUAAAUAAAGAAUGCCUGUACCAUAACCGACACAGGUGGGUAGGUAGAGUAUACUAAGGGGCGCGAGAUAACUCUCUCUAAGGAACUCGGCAAAAUAACUCCGUAACUUCGGGAGAAGGAGUGCCUUCUUUAAGAAGGUUGCAAUAACAAGAUCCAAGCAACUGUUUAUCAAAAACACAGGUCUCCGCUAAGUCGUAAGACGAUGUAUGGGGGCUGACGCCUGCCCAGUGCCAGAAGGUUAAAGAAGCUGGUUAGCAAUAGCGAAGCUGGUGACUGAAGCCCUGGUGAACGGCGGCCGUAACAAUAACGGUCCUAAGGUAGCGAAAUUCCUUGUCGGGUAAGUUCCGACCCGCACGAAAGGCGUAAUGAUUGGAUACUGUCUCGGAGAGGGACUCGGUGAAAUAGACUUGUCUGUGAAGAUGCGGACUACCUGCACCAGGACAGAAAGACCCUAUGAAGCUUUACUGUAACCUGAAAUUGAAAUUGGACUUUAUUUGCGCAGUAUAGGUGGGAGGCGUUGAAAGUAAUCUUGCGGGAUUAGUGGAGCCAUCAGUGAGAUACCACUCCUAUAAUGUUAGAUUUCUAACUUUGGAUCAUGAUCUGGUCAAAGAACAGUUUCAGGCGGGCAGUUUGACUGGGGCGGUCGCCUCCCAAAUGGUAACGGAGGCGUACAAAGGUUUCCUCUGAACGGGUAGAAAUCGUAUCUAGAGUGUAAAGGCAUAAGGAAGCUUGACUGUGAGACCUACAAGUCGAGCAGGGACGAAAGUCGGUCUUAGUGAUCUGACGGUGCUGAGUGGAAAGGCCGUCACUCAACGGAUAAAAGUUACUCUAAGGAUAACAGGCUGAUCUCCCCCAAGAGUUCACAUCGACGGGGAGGUUUGGCACCUCGAUGUCGGCUCAUCGCAUCCUGGGGCGGUAGUACGUCCCAAGGGUUGGGCUGUUCGCCCAUGAAAGCGGUACGCGAGCUGGGUUCAGAACGUCGUGAGACAGUUCGGUCCAUAUCCGGUGUAGGCGUUAGAAUAUUGAGAGGAGCCUUCUCUAGUACGAGAGGACCGAGAAGGACAUACCUCUGGUGUACCAGUUAUCGUGCCAACGGUAAACGCUGGGUAGCUAUGUAUGGAGAGGAUAACCGCUGAAAGCAUCUAAGUGGGAAGCCCACCUCAAGAUGAGUAUUCUCAUC